CAGGAAACAUCACUAAUUAUUUUAUUUUUUAACAGAUUGCAAGCACAAACAAGACUGUGCAACCGAAACUAGAACUGCUACUGUCAAAACAGGACCCUGUUUUUUUUAUUAAAAAAAAACAAAUGCCACCACAACAAAAACAGUGGUUAUUCCUUAUGACGGAAGUCAGUGGACUUUGCCCACCUGGUUGCUGCAGCUAAACAGCCCAGACAAAAGACCAGAAACUGGAAGUCCCCACCUGGAGAAGUCUUCAGGAUGCUUUUGCCGUGUUCCAGAGUGGGCUAGGAAACCAACCGUUGGCAGAUGUUGCGCCCGGUGCAGCCGGCACCCCCUGCACCCCCCACGCUACGCCACUGCCUUGCAGCCCCCAAGCAACUUUCAUGCCUGAAAGGGGAUUCGAACUCAGAACUUCAUCUGAGCUCAAGGAUAGCCAAUCUAGAGUCCUACAGAUGUUAUUGCACUCUAGUUCCGAUCAACCUUAGCGAGCAUGUCCAAUGG